rnacentral:rRNA from 1 species
CUACGGGGCGCUGCAGUGGGGAAUAUUGCACAAUGGGCGCAAGCCUGAUGCAGCCAUGCCGCGUGUAUGAAGAAGGCCUUCGGGUUGUAAAGUACUUUCAGCGGGGAGGAAGGGAGUAAAGUUAAUACCUUUGCUCAUUGACGUUACCCGCAGAAGAAGCACCGGCUAACUCCGUGCCAGCAGCCGCGGUAAUACGGAGGGGGCAAGCGUUAAUCGGAAUUACUGGGCGUAAAGCGCACGCAGGCGGUUUGUUAAGUCAGAUGUGAAAUCCCCGGGCUCAACCUGGGAACUGCAUCUGAUACUGGCAAGCUUGAGUCUCGUAGAGGGGGGUAGAAUUCCAGGUGUAGCGGCGAAAUGCGUAGAGAUCUGGAGGAAUACCGGUGGCGAAGGCGGCCCCCUGGACGAAGACUGACGCUCAGGUGCGAAAGCGUGGGGAGCAAACAGGAUUAGAUACCCCAGUAGUC